GGGGGAGCAAGCGUUGUUCGGAUUUACUGGGCGUAAAGGGNGCGUANGCGGCCAGCACAAGUCANUUGUGAAAUCUCCGAGCUUAACUCGGAAAGGUCAACUGAUACUGUGCGGCUAGAGUGCGGAAGGGGNAACUGGAAUUCUUGGUGUAGCGGUGAAAUGCGUAGAUAUCAAGAGGAACACCUGCGGCGAANGCNGGUUGCUGGGCCGACACUGACGCUGAGGCGCGAAAGCUAGGGGAGCGAACNGNAUUAGAUACCCCGGUNGUCCUANCCUUAAACGAUGAAUGCUUGGUGUCUGGGGUUAUAAAGUCCCCGGGUGCCGUCGCU
rnacentral:rRNA from 1 species